CAGUCGCAUGGACUUCUACGAUAUUUUUGCCAUAUAGACAGAUUAUAUAUUUCUUUUGGGUCUCCCUCGGCUCCCCGAGUCCUCUAUCGCCGAUGUUUUCUUUACCGGCGCUCCGACCUCACUCCCGCUUCCCCCUCUCCUUUCCAUCCCCGCACCGUUUCCUCCCCAAACCCUCCCUCUUCUCCGCCCUCUCUGCAUCCCUAACCCUAGCCCUAGAUCCGGACCACCGGCCACUCCACUACGGCCCCUCCCUCCGCCGAGGCCGGAGGCCCUCCCCGGCGUCGCCCCCCUCCCUGGGCUCCGGCGAUGGACCAUUGAUCGACAAGGCGAGCUUCGGUCGCGUCUUCGAUGUGGCCGCCCUCCGGGUGCCAGCGGAGGAGUGCGCCGCCCUUGAGAACCGCCUCCGCGGCCACCUCCUCAACUGGCCCCGCGUCCGCAACGUCGCGCGGGUCUCCGGUGACGAUGUGGAGCCGGAGUUCAAGAGGAUUAUGAGGGACGCCGAGGGGGACGGUGGAGAUCGGCUCCGUUCCCUGGCACGGCGGGUGGAUGGGGUUUCCGACGGCGAGGAGGUGGUUGCCCCGAGCCCGGUGAUGUACAGGGAGAAGCUCGCGAAGGAUUUCAACUGGCGCGGUUUUGUUAGGUUUAGGAAUUUGGCGAAGAUCUCGCGGCCGAAAAAGAAAAAGAAGAAGCGGGACGGGGAGAGGGAGGGUAUUGAAGCGAAGGAGAGAAUGGAAAAGAAUGGUUUUUCUUUCUUGGAGGUGGUCGAAGAUGGUGGAGGGGAUGGAGAAGAGGAGGACGAUAUGAGGGGUUUGCUAGGGGCAGACUUCCAUGUUGGGAGGUGGAGAGGUCCAACUCGGUUGCUGCUGUUAGAUGAGCGGUAUGCGAACAAGGGCAUCGAUGAGCUCCCAGAGGCUGUCAAGGUUGUGUUACUAGGUGAUAGUCGGAAAAGCAUGCCUUCAAUAUAUGAACUUGUGCAAUGCCAUUUGACAUUAUUUUAUAACUAUUGGCAGAUGAAUGAGCUUUUGGAGGACUUGCUUCCUGAGAAUAUGGUUGUUCCAACAGGUUUUGAAACAGUUGGGCAUAUUGCACACUUGAAUUUGAGAGAUGAGCACCUGCCGUACAAGAAACUUAUUGCUCAGGUAGUCUUGGAUAAGAACAAGCCAAAGAUACAGACGGUCGUUAACAAGAUUGAUGCUAUUCAAAAUGAUUACAGAACAAUGCAGCUUGAAGUAUUGGCUGGCAACCAUUCUCUUGUUACUACAGUUGUUGAGAAUGGCAUACGUUUUCAAGUUGAUUUAGCAACAGUUUACUGGAAUUCCAGAUUGGCGACUGAAAGACAAAGGGUUGUAAGUGGCUUUACAAGCUCUGAUGUGGUUUGUGAUGUCUUCUCUGGUGUUGGGCCAAUAGCUAUUUCUGCAGCAAAGAAAGUGAAACAUGUAUAUGCUAAUGAUUUAAACCCCAUUGCUGUGGAAUAUCUUGAAAGAAACAUCGUUCUCAACAGGCUUGAGAGAAAAAUUUCGGUUUUUAACAUGGAGGGCAGGAGGUUCAUUUGUGCUAUAUUUGCUAACCAACGGCCUUAUCCUAUUACACAAGUGGUUAUGAAUUUGCCGAAUGAUGCUGCUGAGUUCCUUGGUUUGUUCAAUAUGAAUUUAUGCAUUCAGAGGCAUCUUCAGGAAGAGACCGAGGGAGAACGAUUGCAAUUUGCCUAAGAUUCACCUAUAUGGAUUCUCCAAGGCCCAAAAUCCUGAGUAUGACUUUCAUCAGCGGAUAAACAUGGCACUUUGCGAGACAGUAGCCGACAUAGAAAUGCAUAGAGUCCGGCUUGUUGCACCUGGGAAAUGGAUGCUCUGUGCAACAUUUACUCUACCACUAACUGUUGCAUUGGCAAAGCAAACUGGUCAUUAGAGAUACUUUGCUCUUUUGUAAUGAUAUAUACUCUUUUUUUAACAAGAAAGGUGCAGAUAAGUUACUUGCAACUGUUCUCCUGCGGAGGUGCACGUCUGAAAUAAUCACUUACAAUUCAUGGAAUUCCUAUACAUUUCCCAGUCCAUAUUGCUUGAAUCAUUAGACCCAGAACCAACCUCCUGAAGGCUCGCCGACUUGUGAGGCGGCAAGGUGAUGACGGGAAAUGGGCAGGAGAGGUUUCCCCCCUCUCCUUCAGCUAGCAAGAAAAUUUUGCUGGUUUCUUUUUCAUAAAUGUGACGAGCAUAUCUUGCUGCUCGCUUGUAAGAAGCCUUUGAGCUGCUGUCAAAUAAUAUUUGGCAUCAAUGACAUGAAUUUAUGAUGGUUGCGUGUAUGAUAUUAAAUGGUCACAUUGGAGAUCAA